UUCGUUAGGAGGUGGUGAAGACCCAUGGAGGCUCCCCGAGUUGGGGGAUGAGGCUGAGAUCUGUCCUGACUGUGAUGAGCUUCAUAGAGGAGACCUGAGAACCCCACACACCCUGGGGCAGGUACAGCCCAACAGAGGAAGCUUGGAAGUUGGCAGGAAGUUCAAAUGGGAACAGGAAGCAGUGGCCAGCCCUGCCAUAAUCCACUUCCUCCUGAUCUGCCCAUCCCACCAUGAAUUUGACAGCCACACACCCAGCAGUGAUCAUCACCGCCUCUGCCCACGCCUAGAGCUGCCCUUUCCCCUCCCCAGUGCAGGGGCAAACUGAGGACUAUUCUCCCAGCCCCUCUUCAUCCUGCCCUCUCUGCCACCCUUACUGCCUCC
rnacentral:lncRNA from 1 species